rnacentral:rRNA from 1 species
AUUGAACGCUGGCGGCAUGCUUUACACAUGCAAGUCGAACGGUAACAGGGAGCUUGCUCCGCUGACGAGUGGCGAACGGGUGAGUAAUGCGUCGGAACGUGCCGAGUAGUGGGGGAUAACGCAUCGAAAGGUGUGCUAAUACCGCAUACGUACUGAGGUAGAAAGUGGGGGACCUUCGGGCCUCACGCUAUUCGAGCGGCCGACGUCUGAUUAGCUAGUUGGUGAGGUAAAGGCUCACCAAGGCGACGAUCAGUAGCGGGUCUGAGAGGAUGGUCCGCAACACUGGGACUGGGACACGGCCCAGACUCCUACGGGAGUCAGCAGUGGGGAAUCUUGGACAAUGGGCGCAAGCCUGAUCCAGCCAUGCCGCGUGUCUGAAGAAGGCCUUCGGGUUGUAAAGGACUUUUGUCCGGGAGCAAAUGCCUGGUGUUAAUAGCAUCGGGAGCUGAGAGUACCGGAAGAAUAAGCACCGGCUAACUACGUGCCAGCCGCCGCAGUAAAAC